GCCCAACCGCCCAGUCUAUGGUGCGAUUUGAACCGACCAGCGUCUAGGUUAGCGGUUUGGUUAUGACCGGCCAAGUCUAGGGACGUGUCCCUUGGACUGAACCGGCACAACCCUUCGUGUAUAAUCAGAAAGAAGAGAAAGGGCCGGAUAGAAACAAGAAGAGGAGAAGCGGUUAUGUCUAAUGGACCGACCAGAGCCGCGGUGCAUUCACAAGGACCGUCCGUUCGGUCUGAUGGAGCCAUAGCCCACCACGUACCUUCUGAACCGUGUCAGGUUUCUCCAUGCUCUUCUCCUGCUCUCGGUCUCCCAUACUUGAUCGGAGGUUGCUUCACAAACGAUCAGAUCGCCGGAAACCUAACCACCAUACAAUCGGCCUUGCUUUGGCUGGAAACUCUCUCUCUCUUUCUUUCUCUCCCUCUACAAUUUCUCUGAGUGUUUUACUUUUGAAUUGGAUGAUUGAAAUCAAAAGAGAGGACCCCAUAUUCAUAGAAAACGAGGGGGUAAGUCUUGCCCCACGAACAGGCAUGACUGGUCAGCGGAUGGGCACAAUCGGCCAAGGGUUACACCCUCUCGACCGCAAGCGUCCCUUCGCCAAUACCGCAUGGUCGGACAGAGGCCCAAGGCCUUACCCAAUCCCUUUGGACUUAGCCCACAGCCUUGUCCCAAGCCCCAACAGUCCAUGGCCUCAUGGCCGGACCCCCAAGGGCCGGACCCAGACCAUCGGACCGAAACUCGAACAGUCCGUCCAGCUGAGAUGAGCUGACUCCCAGCUGCCUCAGCUGAGUGAGCUAGUAGUUCAGCUAGUGGAGCUGACUUAGUAGUGGUCGAGCAGGAGUGAGCAUAACCUAACUCUGUUGACCUGGUCGAGCUACUUGUUCCAUCCGUCCAGCUACGUUCUUACUCGUCCUAGCUGACUCUCGACUUGUAUAAGGUUAAGUCUAAGUUUCCUUACGUCCUUAACCUUCUUAUCUGGCCAUGGAACGCUUGUCUUGAUGUCCUAAGACUGACUAGUACGUUUCCUCGAACCAUGACCGUCCCAAUGAUCCUAUUCAGGAUCUGGGAUGUUACAACGUCGGCAGGAAUUCCGGAAAGGGUUAUCUUUUCUGUUUAACAGCCUGCCCACCUUGGAAACGGCUCAGCCGGAGGUAGGGUCCAGCGGCUGGAAGAGCACCGCACGUCGCGUGGUAUCCGGUGCAUUCCCAGCGGCCCUUGAAAAUCCGGAGGACCGAGUGCUGCUCACGCCCGGUCGUAUUCAUAACCACAUCAUGUCUCCAAGGUGAACAGCCUCUGGUCGAUGGAACAAUGUAGGCAAGGGAAGUCGGCAAAAUGGAUCUGUAACUUUGGGAAAAGGGUUGGCUUUGAGGGAUGGGUCGGGGGUCCCAGUUCCGAACCUGUCGACUGUUGGCGGGCUGCAUGAGCUGCUAACUUGCCGAGAGCGGACCGCCUCGUGUCGGCUGGGGGACGGACUGGGAAUGGCUCUUUCGGGAUCUUUCCCUGGGUGUCGAACAGCCAACUCAGAACUGGUACAGACAAGGGGAAUCCGAUUGUUUAAUUAAAACAAAGCAUUGCGAUGGUCCCUGCAGAUGCUAACGCAAUGUGAUUUCUGCCUAGUGCUCGAAUGUCAAAGUGAAGAAAUUUAACCAAGCGCGGGUAAACGGCGGGAGUAACUAUGACUCUCUUAAGGUAGCCCAAUGCCUCGUCAUCUAAUUAGUGACGCGCAUGAAAGGAUUAACGAGAUUCCCACUGUCCCUGUCUACUAUCUAGCGAAACCACAGCCAAGGGAACAGGCUUGGCAGAAUCAGCAGGGAAAGAAGACCCUUUUGAGGUUGACUCCACUCCGACUUUGUGAAAUGACUUGAGAGGUGUAGAAUAAGAGGGAGCUUCGGUGCAAGUGAAAUACCACUACUUUUAACGUUAUUUUACUUACUCCGUGAAUCAAAGGCGGGGUAACAACCCCUUCUUUUAGACCCAAGACUCGCUUCGGCGGGUCGAUCCGGGCGGAGGACAUUGUCAGGUGGGUAGUUUGGCUGGGGCGGCACAUCUAUUAAAAGAUAACGCAGGUGUCCUAAGAUGAGCUCAACGAGAACAUAAAUGUCGUGUGGAACAAAAGGGUAAAAGCUCGUUUGAUUCUGAUUUUCAGUACGAAUACGAUUCGUGAAAGCGUGGCCUAUCGAUCCUUUAGACCUUCAGAAUUUGAAGCUAGAGGUGUCAGAAAAGUUACCACAGGGAUAACUGGCUUGUGGCAGCCAAGCGUUCAUAGCGACGUUGCUUUUUGAUCCUUCGAUGUCGGCUCUUCCUAUCAUUAUGAAGCAGAAUUCACCAAGUGUUGGAUUGUUCACCCACCAAUAGGGAACGUGAGCUGGGUUUAGACCGUCGUGAGACAGGUUAGUUUUACCAUACUGAUGCCCGCGUCGCAAUAGUAAUUCAACCUAGUACGAGAGGAACCGUUGAUUCGCACAAUUGGUCAUCGCACUUGGUUGAAAAGCCAGUGGCGCGAAGCUACCAUGCGCUGGAUUAUGACUGAAUGGCUCUACGUCAGAAUCUGGGCUAGAAGCGACGCAUUCGCCCGCCGCCCGAUUUUCGACCCUCAGUAGGAGCUUCGGCUCCCAAAGGCACGUGUCAUUGGCUAAGUCUGUUCGGCGGAAGCACCGUUCGGACCGCCUUGAAUUAUAAUUACCACCGAGCGGCGGGUAGAAU
rnacentral:rRNA from 1 species